rnacentral:misc_RNA from 1 species
GAUGAAGAACGUAGCGAAAUGCGAUAAGUAAUGUGAAUUGCAGAAUUCAGUGAAUCAUCGAAUCUUUGAACGCACAUUGCGCCCGCUAGUAUUCUGGCGGGCAUGCCUGUUCGAGCGUCAUUUCAACCAUCAAGCCCUUUAGCUUGUGUUGGGGACCUGCGGCUGCCGCAGCCCCCGAAAUGCAGUGGCGGGCUCGUUGUCACACCGAGUGCAGUAAUCAUUCUUCUCUCCGGGCGUGGCGGCGGGUUCCGUCCGUAAAAUCACCAAUUUAUCAAGGUUGACCUCGGAUCAGGUAGGAAUACCCGCUGAACUUAAGCAUAUCAAUAAGCGGAGGA